GCCGGACGCGGUGGCGCGCACCUGUAGUCCCAGCUACUUGGGAGGCUGAGGUGGGAGGAUCGCUUGAGUCCAGGAGUUCUGGGCUGCAGUGCGCUAUGCCGAUCGGGUGUCCGCACUAAGUUCAGCAUCAAUAUGGUGACCUCCUGGAAGUGGGGGACCACCAGGUUGCCUAAGGAGGAGUGAACCAGCCCAGGUCGGAAACGGAGCAGGUCAAAACUCCCGUGCUGAUCAGUAGUGGGAUCACGCCUGUGAAUAGCCACUGCACUCCAGCCUGGGCAAUAUAGUGAGACCCUGUCCCU
ensembl:misc_RNA Metazoa_SRP Metazoan signal recognition particle RNA